AGAAAGCUGCUGCAAGGAAGGAGAAAAUCUGUCCAGACUUCCGGCCGAACACAGGUUGUAUUUUUCCAUCCCCUUUUUCAUUGUUUUGCCUUGAAUCUUGUCUAUUGGUUGAUGUUUUGGUUGAUUGAACUCCCAGGAUCCCCAACAAACUGGUAUCAGAGCUAGGAGGAGUGAUAUUAGUCCAAAAUCGAUCAAAAACCAGCAAGGAAUCGCCAUUGCCACUUUCUAACCGAAUCUGAAAA
rnacentral:lncRNA from 1 species